CUCCCCACUCUUCUCCCCUGCCCUCCCCUCCCCCUCCAGUCCAGCGUCCUGCAGAUGACAGGGUUCUGUAAGUGGUGCAUGUCUGGACAAGGAUGAGAGGUGGCCUUGUUAGCCUUAAGUGCUGCCACACAGAGUCUCUGCAUCUGGGGGCUGCUGCCCGCUGCGCCCACUCUGGUGUGCUUCGUUUUCACACUGAGGCUCGCUUGCUCUCCUUGGGGUUCCAGUUGGCCGGCCCUUCUUGCUCUCCUGUCCUUCUCUCCAUCAGCCUUCGUCCGGGCUGCUGUUGCCGCAAUCCAGGGGGAGGGGUCCUCUGAUGUAGCCCCCUGUCCUGCCUUCGCUGCCAGUUUCAGGGGCCCUGGCCGGGUUCCGUCACAGCUGGGCCUGGCCUGAGCCGCUGUCUCUCCCCAGCAUGGUCCGCAGGCCGGCCUGGCCUCCCGCCUGAGCUGCCUGCAGCGUUUCCAGGCCGGCGUGCUGCGGGAGGCCUCCUGCGAGGAGCUGGACGCUGUGGGGCCGCUCUCCGAGAAGGCGAGAGCCGUGCAGAUGUGGACCCUUGCCUCACUCACCCUGCUGCAGGAGGUGCCCCCGGAUCCGGCUGUGGCAGCGCUUCCAGUCUCAGAUCCAGAGGAUGGAGAAUUAACCCCGAGCAGCCUGUUGUAUGAAUGGGAGGAGACGUUGCCCCAGGCCACGGUGGCCGCAGCGGCUGCAUCCUUGAGGAAGCUGUGCCUGGCUCAGACCACCAGCUUUGAGGUAAGCGGCUUCUCCAGCCCCAGGCUAGUCUGCCCUGGGCCUGGGUCCCUGGGAUCCCCUCCUCUUCCUGCCCAGAUCCUUUAUGACCCACUCUCCCAGAUGUUCAGUAUCAAGGUGCUGUGUACAGUUGAGCAGGUCACGCACUGCACAACCGUGUCUGGUUGCCAAAGCAAAGAAGAGUACGAAGUCUAGCUGGUGUGUGCCGGGCCUUGUGCCCCAGUGCAGGCUGGAUGUGAGCAAAGAGGAGGGCUUUUUCUCAUCUGCUGUUAUGGGCAGUCCUGUUGGGGCCCAGUCUAACCUUCUGAAUGUGGCCUGUCCCAGAGAUCUGUCGGGAAAUCUCUAGCCACAUCCAGGACUCAGCACUGAAGACUUCUCACCAAGUCCCAACCAAGUCAGGAAGACGGGGCCCAGGCCUCUGGAACUCCCAGCCCUUUAGAGGCAGGGGGUGGCCGUGAUGUGGAGGUCCCGUAGCCCAGGGCCCAUGCUGGCUGGUCCACCCAGGCUGUGAACUCUCUGUUCAGCAAGGCGAGGGGCUUCCUGUGGGAUCUGGCACCAUCCUCGGCCCUUCUGAUGAACGAGAUGGAUGCAGUGCCCACUGGCACAUGGCAUGAAAGCUGGUGGAGGGAGGAUGGACGGUAGCCACGGCAGGCGAGCAUGGAUUGCAGCCACACCAAGCGCCGUGAGGAGAACAGAGCAGGGUGUGGCCUCGUGAGCACUUUAGACCAGGGCUCUAAAGCCGAGGACGUUGGAGUUGAGACAUGGGGCGGGGGGGGUCCCUUGGGAAGGGGGGCAGGAGCCCUCUGAAAGCAAGGUUUGCCCGGGCCGAGUCCUGAGUCUGGACCGUGUUGGCGUGUUCGUGGAGAGGCAGGCCAGCCCCACUGGAGAUAGGCAGUGAGGACCAGCAGGGGCCAGCUGGUCAGGAUGACUUCCAGAACAUUCCAGGCACGUAGAGAUCUGAGGCGUCCAGGCUGGGGUUAGUCCGCCUCGGUUUCUGGGGGUCUGGUCUGAGAUGGCGCAGACCCCCCGUGUCCUGCUUGGCUGCAGGAAACAGGGUCACCUGGGGCACUUAGCAGGGAUGCCCAGAAAUGUGGGUGAGCUGAACGUCCUGAGUCCAGAGGGCUAAGGAGACAAGGCAGGGAAGUGGGGGUGAGGGAGCGAGGUGGGGCUGGUGUGGGAGGCAGUUUUAAAUGAUGGAUGGCCGGGGAAGGCUGUCCUGAGGAGGUGACGUUGAAUAAAGACCUGGAGGAGAUGUGGUGUGAGCA
rnacentral:lncRNA from 1 species